GCUGCGCAGGGCGAGGGCGGAUAGACUGCAGUCCCCCGGAGCUGCGCGCCGGAAGUGCUCGCCCGGCCCCGGCGCAGGGUCCAAGAUGGUGGCGCUAGGACCUGGAACCACGUGAUAGAAUCCGUGGAGGGGCCCUGACCGAGCGGGAGGCUGGGGGUGGCGUGGAGGUGAGACCCCGCUGUGUUCACAGAGCUGGGGGCCCCCCGGCGCCUGCGUCUUCCAGGGAGCGAGGAAUGGAGCAGAGCUCUGGAGGCAGACCCUAGACUCCUGCUUCCUCUGGAUGGGGAGAAGCCUGGGGGACCUCAGGAGGAGGUAGGCGCCAGGUGCGAAGGACUGGGCCUUCCUUGCCCUGGGCUGGCUUCUCCGUCUCGGUGUGCCCCGCUCCCUGGCGCGUCCCCUUACUCUUGCCUGUUCCAGUUCCCUCCUGUGGGUACCGCAAACGGAAUCUUCCCCCAGGCCCAAAAUAAACCGUCAGACAUAAAUUGAUCCUAUUCCUCGCCCAACGCUGUGCCAGAAAUUCAAGAUGCUGCAGGAUGUGGCUGUGAAUGAAUCACAAAAGGAUGCUGGGCUCCAGACCUAUACUCAGUGGGAUCGCUACAAGGAAGAGACACUAGAUAAGGAGGCAGAGCUGGCCUCACUGGGUAAGGGCACUGAACUCUAACUUAGAAUCCAUAUACUCUGAGUUCUCUGAGUUUUGGUUGAAAAAACAAAAAACUAUUUCUUCUAUACCUCAAAGAUAUCCAAACAUAAAAAAAAAAACAAAAAA